rnacentral:rRNA from 1 species
UACGGGGGAGCAAGCGUUGUUCGGAUUUACUGGGCGUAAAGGGCGCGUAGGCGGCCUGUGCAAGUCAGUUGUGAAAUCUCCGAGCUUAACUCGGAACGGUCAACUGAUACUGCUCGGCUAGAGUGCGGAAGGGGCAACUGGAAUUCUUGGUGUAGCGGUGAAAUGCGCAGAUAUCAGGAGGAACACCGGUGGCGAAGGCGGGUCUCUGGGCCGAAACUGACGCUGAGGAGCGAAAGCUAGGGGAGCGAACGGG